GGACCCUCGCCCCGACUCCACCCGAUCCCCUAGAAAUUACCCAUUUCUCAUCUCGCUCCCGAAAAAUUCUCGGAAUCUCCUGUCUACUGGGAUCGGAUCUGUAAUUGCCCGUUCCUAGCUAUGGAACUCUAUUCCAUAUAAAAUUUUAAUAAUUUAUACUACUACAAAAUCAUAACGAGCCGACAUGAGUCGUGGGUUAGUUCAAUAGUUUCUGAGGCGCAAAUACGGCUAACCAACAGUCCAAUUUCUCGAGUCCGAUGAUAAAGAUUUUGGUGUUUUGUGCUUUCUUGGAGGAAAAGUGUACCGAAACGAGGAACGAAGACAAUGGUGGCCGGCGCGGCUAAUAGUGAAUUUACGGGACAUGAUCAUACAGAACAUGGCCGGCUUCUGUGCACCAGCUCUCAAGUCAGACAAAUCUCGUGCACAUGUAAAAUUAUAUAGCAACUCUGAUCAUCAAAUUGAUGGUUUCUAUCCUCCUAUUACAUGAUUAAGGGAAUUGGUUAAAAAGAUAGGGCUUCUAACGUGUUUUUGAAAUUGAGGAUGUUUUUUGGCUUGAUGUCUGACGAAAUAGCCAAUGCAGUUCUGGAGUUCGAUGAAAAGGAUCCGUUUACUUUGUUCUAACUCGGAAAAAGAGUGUUCCAGAGAAUUCCUGAGAACGAGAUGCAAAUACAGUGGUGGUUGGUUAAUAGUGAAUUUAGGGAAGAUGAUCUUGAUUUGAUAUCGAGAAUGGCAGACUUGUUUCGACCAAUAAAUGCUUCUAAUUCGGAUUACAGUUAUUGUGUGCAUAUAAAUCCUUAUUUUUCAAACUCUGAUGACCAAAUUGUUGGUUCAGAUUCGCCUGUUAUAUCAUACAUGUAAUUAGUUUGUUUUUUGUAAAAAAUCUUGUAAGUUUUUGCUAAGGUAUAACUUUGUGUAUUUAACUGUAUGAUUACUGAUAUGUAUUCUGAGAUUUCUCUUGUUGCAGAUUCCAGAUUGAGAGACUUGGUUAAUAGGAUCAGGGGCUUUUCUGCAUUCCGAGAAUCAUUAGGCCAUCGUUACUGAAUUUGAGAAAAUCGGUCCCCAUAUAUGUUCUUCUAUCUUUCCCGUUAUUACUUCUGUGAUCCGUUCGUGGGGGUAACAUCAUAUGAAAUCAAGCAAAGGACCUGGCCUUUGAUUGAAAAACUUCUAACAAAGCCCUGUUCCCUUUCUAGACUGUUGAAUCUCCCAUUUUAACUUAAACAGAUAGCUAGAAGCUCACCUUAUGAAGAAAUUUUAUAAUCAAAUCGCCUGUUACAUGAUUAAGAGAAUUGGUUAAAAAGAUAGGGCUUCUAACGUGUUUUUGAAAUUGAGGAUGUUUUUUGGCUUGAUGUCUGAUGAAAUAGCCAAUGCAGUUCUGGAGUUCGAUGAAAAGGAUCCGUUUACUUUGUUCUAACUCGGAAAAAGAGUGUUCCAGAGAAUUCCUGAGAACGAGAUGCAAAGACAGUGGUGGUUGGUUAAUAGUGAAUUUAGGGAAGAUGAUCUUGAUUUGAUAUCGAGAAUGGCAGACUUGUUUCGACCAAUAAAUGCUUCUAAUCCGGAUUACAGUUAUUGUGUGCAUAUAAAUCCUUAUUUUUCAAACUCUGAUGACCAAAUUGUUGGUUCAGAUUCGCCUGUUAUAUCAUACAUGUAAUUAGUUUGUUUUUUGUAAAAAAUCUUGUAAGUUUUUGCUAAGGUAUAACUUUGUGUAUUUAACUGUAUGAUUACUGAUAUGUAUUCUGAGAUUUCUCUUGUUGCAGAUUCCAGAUUGAGAGACUUGGUUAAUAGGAUCAGGGGCUUUUCUGCAUUCCGAGAAUCAUUAGGCCAUCGUUACUGAAUUUGAGAAAAUCGGUCCCCAUAUAUGUUCUUCUAUCUUUCCCGUUAUUACUUCUGUGAUCCGUUCGUGGGGGUAACAUCAUAUGAAAUCAAGCAAAGGACCUGGCCUUUGAUUGAAAAACUUCUAACAAAGCCCUGUUCCCUUUCUAGACUGUUGAAUCUCCCAUUUUAACUUAAACAGAUAGCUAGAAACUCACCUUAUGAAGACAUUUUAUCAUCAAAUCGCCCCCCCCACCCCCCACCCCCCAAGUCAUAGUGCAUUAUAAGUGUACUGGAGUAUUUUACUAAUCAAGUUAUUUGCGUGAUAUUCCAGUUCAACUCGUUAAUAUUCAAUUUUAAAAAAUAUACACUUGUGCUUGAGUUCAAACCAUUCAGAUAUAAAAGGAGAGCUGCAGUUUGAUCUCAGAAGCAAAACGAUUUCUUUUUUUUCCACAUCAUAGAAGUCAUGGUGUGUGUUCAAAACUAAUUAGUAUGUAAUUUUAUAUUUGAACGAGUCAAGGACAACUUGAACUUAACAUAUUUGAGUUCAUGUUAUGGACUGGGGCAGACCAUAAAGAACUGGCCAAAGCUUUGCAGUAUCAUGAUGAUGACAUGAUCUUGAUCUGAUGCUGAACAUGACCGGCUUGUUCGCACCAGCUCUCAAGUUAGAGAAAUCUCGCGCGCAUGUAAAAUUUUAUAUUUCAAACUCUGAUCGUCAAAUUGAUGGUUUGGAUUAUCCUGUUACAUAUUCAGGAUUAAGGGAUUUGGUUAAAAGGAUGAGGGAUUCUCCUGCAUUCUGGGAAUCACGGAUGUUUUUCGGCUUUAUGUCUAACCUUAUUGCCAAUGCAGUUGUGGAGUCUGAUGAAAAGGAUCCGUUUACUAUAAUCUAUCUUGGAAGAAGAGUGUUCAAGGAAACUCCUGAGAACGAGAUGCAAAGACAGUGGUGGUUGGCUAAUAGUGAAUUUAGGGAAGAUGAUCUUGAUUUGAUUGUGAGGAUGGCAGACUUGUUUUACCCGUUGGAUACUUUUAAAUUGGAUGACGGUUACCGUGUGCAUACACACCUUUAUUUUGCAAACUCUGAUGAUUAAAUUGCCGGUGCAGAUUCGCCUGUUACAUAUUCUGGAUUGAGAGACUUGGUUAAAAGGAUCAGGGGCUCUGCUGCAUUCCGAGAAUCAAUAGGCCAUCGUUACUGAAUUUGAGAGAAUUGGUUGAAAUAUAUGUUCAUGUGGAUUUUAUAAUAUAUACUAUGAUCUGUCUCGAAGGAUUCAGAAGUAAAUAGUAAUAUCUCUGUGGAUACUGCUUUUUCGUGUUUUAGGCUCUUGGAAUUUGUUUAAAGUCAUGAAUGGUUUUUUUAGAUUAAUCAAUGAAGCUAAAACGGGAAAAAUUCUUGCAGAAACCCCAUUUACAUGCUUAGGCAGGAAAAAAAAACAACUUACUACUUCAGGGCUACUGCAUAAACUG